rnacentral:lncRNA from 1 species
UGUUACUCUCUAAUCUCUAAUUUCUAUCCCAAAACUCUGCUAAAAUUUUCGUUCGAGCACUCCAUUCUUGUUGAGGUAAAGAACUGACUUGAGCGUCGGAGGGUCUUGCCGGAGCACCCCUAACUCUGAUUUAGACUUUCUUUGCAGGUCCCGACGGUGACCGCGACUCCCUCGACUCCAGCUUCUCCAAUGCAGAUGGAUUUUUGUACCAACAGGAUUGGCGCU